GCUACUUCUUCCUUACUCUGCAAUUUUCCUUCGCCACUGCUUCAAAGUGCUAUCUCUCUGUUUGAAUCUGUAAAAUUCAAUUCAGAUAACGCCUGAAGGCAACUCUACUGCUAUUGGUGACAGUGUACUGUCCUAAAAAAUCUGCUGAUGUUUCUGGGAAAUAGAACUGAAGGACAAAAAUAAGAUGGUUUCCUUUUUUAUAGCCCACAGAACGAAAUUCUAUAGACAUGGAUGUCACUGGCUUCGUUCUAUAAAUGGGAGAUGAGGCAUUGAUUUAUUCAACACCAGCUUAAAUUUGAUCGAGAAAGAGGAUGAAGAAAGUAAACAAGUUUACCAAGGUUCUUGUAUGAUGAUUAAAGCUAUAUUCUGGAGUGAAGUUCCAAGCUGAAGAGCCAAUGUGGGAAGCGUAGAAGGCCAUGGAAGUUUAUGUAAAAGUGAUCCAGUUGCAACUGCUUUGAUUCAAAUUCAAGAGGAAUAAUGCAGUGUGAAAAGAAACUAUAUGUUCUUGAAACUCUAUAAACGUAGAACAUAUUAUCUGCCCUUUCUUUUAUAUGGUAGAAUAAAGUAGAACAUAUUAUCUGCCCUUCCUAUUUUUGUUUAGGUAAGGACAGAUAUGUCUACGCUGUAUAAUUUUUCGGCGAAGGGUGUUUGGUUGAACACCCUUGCCGGGCUGUGGCUCCGCCACUGUAGGUGAAACACUAAUAGUUGAGUGUCUUCCAUUAUAAAACAUAGAAAAUGAAAAA